GUGAAGUUACACCUCAAGUAGAGGCCUUAAUUCCCACAGACACAAUCUAAAAUCUUGUAGAAAGCAUUCCCAGAGAAGUGGUGGCUGUCAAAUUGACAAAGCACGGGCCAGUUCCAUAUGAAUGUCCAUUGUUUUGGAAUGUAAUCUUCAACAAUCCCAUAUAGAUGAGAUGGACAUGUAUCCACUUACGUUUGGCCAUCGUGUGUAUGAAAUAUUAAAAUUGGG